ACCAGACUCCUACGGGAGGCAGCAGUGGGAAUAUUGCACAAUGGGGGAAACCCUGAUGCAGCGACGCCGCGUGAGUGAAGAAGUAUUUCGGUAUGUAAAGCUCUAUCAGCAGGAACGAGACAAGACGGUACCUGACUAAGAAGCCCCGGCUAACUACGUGCCAGCAGCCGCGGUAAUACGUAGGGGGCAAGCGUUAUCCGGAAUCACUGGGUGUAAAGGGAGCGUAGACGGCUGAGCAAGCCUGAAGUGAAAGGCGGGGGCCCAACCCCCGGACUGCUUUGGGAACUGUACGGCUGGAGUGCAGGAGAGGUAAGUGGAAUUCCUAGUGUAGCGGUGAAAUGCGUAGAUAUUAGGAGGAACACCAGUGGCGAAGGCGGCUUACUGGACUGUAACUGACGUUGAGGCUCGAAAGCGUGGGGAGCAAACAGGAUUAGAUACCCCUGUA
rnacentral:rRNA from 1 species